rnacentral:rRNA from 1 species
UACACUCCUGCGGGAGGCAGCAGUGGGGAAUUUUGGACAAUGGGCGAAAGCCUGAUCCAGCCAUGCCGCGUGCAGGAUGAAGGCCUUCGGGUUGUAAACUGCUUUUGUACGGAACGAAACGGCCUUUUCUAAUAAAGAGGGCUAAUGACGGUACCGUAAGAAUAAGCGCCGGCUAAAUACGUGCCAGCAGCCGCGGUAAUACGGAGGGUGCAAGCGUUCAUCGGAAUUACUGGGCGUAAAGCUUGCGCAGGCGGUUAUGUAAGACAGUUGUGAAAUCCCCGGGCUCAACCUGGGAACUGCAUCUGUGACUGCAUAGCUAGAGUACGGUAGAGGGGGAUGGAAUUCCGCGUGUAGCAGUGAAAUGCGUAGAUAUGCGGAGGAACACCGAUGGCGAAGGCAAUCCCCUGGACCUGUACUGACGCUCAUGCACGAAAGCGUGGGGAGCAAACAGGAUUAGAAACCCGGGUAGUCCCAUG